rnacentral:rRNA from 1 species
GAUGAACGCUGGCGGCGUGCCUAACACAUGCAAGUCGAACGGAGUCGUUUUGGAAAUCUCUUCUGAGCUGGAAUUCUCGACUUAGUGGCGGCCUGGUGAGUAACGCGUUAGCAAUCUGCCUUUAAGAGGGGGAUAACAGUCGGACACGGCUGCUAAUACCGCAUCAAGCAUUAAAUUCGCAUGUUUUUGAUGCCAAAGGAGCACUCCGCUUUUAGGUGAGCUCGCGUCUGAUUAGCUAGUUGGCGGGAUAACGGCCCACCCGGGCGACGAUGAGUAGCCGGACAGAGAGGGUGAAGGGACACAGGGGGACAGAGACACGGCACAGACGCCUACGGGAGAGAGGAGUGGAGAAUAGUGCGAAAGGGGGGAAACCGUGACGGAGAAACGCCGCGUGAUAGAAGAAGGCCUGCGGGUUGUAAAGAUCUUGAAUCAGGGACGAAACAAAUGACGGUAACGGAAGAAUAAGCUCCGGCUAACUACGUG